AUUGAACGCUGGCGGCAGGCUUAACACAUGCAAGUCGAACGAGUGGCGGACGGGUGAGUAAUGUUUGGGAAUCUACCUUAUGGAGGGGGAUAACUACGGGAAACUGUAGCUAAUACCGCAUACCCUAGGGUGAGCCAACCGGGGAUUAGGUAGUUGGUGGGGUAAAGGCUCACCAAGCCGACGAUCUCUAGCUGGUCUGAGAGGAUGACCAGCCACACUGGGACUGAGAAACGUCCCAGACUCCUACGGGAGGCAGCAGGGGGGAAUAUGGCGCAAUGGGGGCAACCCUGACGCAGCCAUGCCGCGUGAAUGAAGAAGGCCUUCGGGUUGUAAAGUACUUUCAGCGGGGAGGCGUUACCCGCAGAAGAAGCACCGGCUAACUCCGUGCCAGCCGCCGCGGUAAUAC
rnacentral:rRNA from 1 species